rnacentral:lncRNA from 1 species
GGUCUCUUCAGCAUAGCAACAGCAGCGUAGCUGAACAUCUUACGGAUGGCCCAGGGCUCCAAAGGCUCGUUUCCUAAGUGAGAGAGAGCCUGGCUGAAGCUGUAUUACCAUUCAUUCUCCAGCCUCCGAAGUCUCAAAGCAUCACUUCCACCAUACUCUAACUGUCAAGACAAACACAAAGGCCCAGAGAAGGGGUCUCACUAUGUUGUCUGGAGUGCUGUGGUGGAGUGGAGUGGCUAUUCACAGAGCCUGUUCUGCUGGGACACAGAAUCACUUGCUCCAUCUCAUACAUUGAUGAUGAUUAAUUUGUAUGUGUACCUUCCAAAAAAGAUGGUUGUGUUUGAAUGGAGGCCUUCUGGACAGGAAAAUUGCAAAGUACAAUUAACAUUUGAGUCUGUCUGAGUCAUGAAGAAAUGGAGAUUACUGAAAAUAAUUCAUUUUGGUAUCUUCUUACAUCCUGAGAGACUAAUCUUUCCAAGUUCAUCUGAGGCUCCUCUUCUCCAUGACAACCUCAUCCAGGGAUUUCUUCCUGUCCUGGUGUUUUAUGACAUAAUCACAUCCUUCCUGAGAUAAUGAGCACACAAUUGCCUGGAUACCUGAAGGAAUGGAGACAGCGGCAGAAAACACUGCAGAGAGGUGGAAACAUCCGUUAAUAUUUUAAAAUCCCAUUACUGCUACCAACAAUAAUAAUGGAUGCAUAGAAAUAGAUCUGGAUUAGCUGAGCUUGAAACAGUCCAUCUCACACACACACAAAAGAAUUUCAGAUACAGUGAACCCACAUGUUGAAGCUUUCUAGUAUAAUAAAAAUUUCAACUGUUCUGUUGAAUCAUCUGCCUGAUUGGAGGCUACAGAAAAGAUGUCAUCUUAGGAGUGCUUGCUCUGAGUGAGGCUCAUCUUCAAAUCUGAAUGACCACAAGGAGAUUUGAUUAUACAUGUGAACACCUCAGAAGGCACAGCCCACCCAGAAGGCAGACAGAAGAAGCUGCCAGGAAGACUGUGAAAUCUUCAUGCCCAAGGAUCCCUAAAAUUAGGAGCAACAACCACUUGGCUCAGACGGUUUAUGGAGGCAAAGGUUUGGAUGGGAUUAGAGAUUUCUAAAUGUGAGUUCGUGUCCUCUGCCAGACCACCUUACUUCCACCAUUCCUCAGCAAAUCAAGAAAAACAGGAGAAAAGACAUGCCUUUCCAUAAGUUAAAUCUAUUCUGUUUUAAUUCUAUAUUAUAUCUGCUGUACAACUUCUUUUGUUUGUAACACCAUAUUGUUGCUAGUAACUGGAAAUUAAUUUUCACAUGCCUCAGCUUAGAAAAAUAAAAAGCAGCCCUGCAUCAAUCCCAA